rnacentral:rRNA from 1 species
UUAAGCGACUAAGCGUACACGGUGGAUGCCCUGGCAGUCAGAGGCGAUGAAGGACGUGCUAAUCUGCGAAAAGCGCCGGCGAGGUGAUAUGAACCUUUGACCCGGCGAUGUCCGAAUGGGGAAACCCAGUGCAAUUCGUUGCACUAUCGUUAACUGAAUACAUAGGUUAACGAGGCGAACCGGGGGAACUGAAACAUCUAAGUACCCCGAGGAAAAGAAAUCAACCGAGAUUCCCCCAGUAGCGGCGAGCGAACGGGGAGGAGCCCAGAGUCUGAAUCAGCGUGUGUGUUAGUGGAACGGUCUGGAAAGUCCGGCGAUACAGGGUGACAGCCCCGUACACGAAAGCACACAGGCUGUGAACUCGAAGAGUAGGGCGGGACACGUGGUAUCCUGUCUGAAUAUGGGGGGACCAUCCUCCAAGGCUAAAUACUCCUGACUGACCGAUAGUGAACCAGUACCGUGAGGGAAAGGCGAAAAGAACCCCGGCGAGGGGAGUGAAAAAGAACCUGAAACCGUGUACGUACAAGCAGUGGGAGCCCCACCACUAAGCCAGUGGUGAGUCCACGUCAGCAUCCUUUGCCGAAGGUAAGGUUAACGGAGCGCAAGCGACGUUCAACCUCAAAAGAAGCAGAGGGGGCUUAGUGGUGGGGUGACUGCGUACCUUUUGUAUAAUGGGUCAGCGACUUAUAUUCUGUAGCAAGGUUAACCGAAUAGGGGAGCCGAAGGGAAACCGAGUCUUAACUGGGCGUUAAGUUGCAGGGUAUAGACCCGAAACCCGGUGAUCUAGCCAUGGGCAGGUUGAAGGUUGGGUAACACUAACUGGAGGACCGAACCGACUAAUGUUGAAAAAUUAGCGGAUGACCUGUGGCUGGGGGUGAAAGGCCAAUCAAACCGGGAGAUAGCUGGUUCUCCCCGAAAGCUAUUUAGGUAGCGCCUCGUGAACUCAUCUUCGGGGGUAGAGCACUGUUUCGGCUAGGGGGUCAUCCCGACUUACCAACCCGAUGCAAACUGCGAAUACCGAAGAAUGUUAUCACGGGAGACACACGGCGGGUGCUAACGUCCGUCGUGAAGAGGGAAACAACCCAGACCGCCAGCUAAGGUCCCAAAGUCAUGGUUAAGUGGGAAACGAUGUGGGAAGGCCCAGACAGCCAGGAUGUUGGCUUAGAAGCAGCCAUCAUUUAAAGAAAGCGUAAUAGCUCACUGGUCGAGUCGGCCUGCGCGGAAGAUGUAACGGGGCUAAACCAUGCACCGAAGCUGCGGCAGCGACGCUUAUGCGUUGUUGGGUAGGGGAGCGUUCUGUAAGCCGUCGAAGGUGUGCUGUGAGGCAUGCUGGAGGUAUCAGAAGUGCGAAUGCUGACAUAAGUAACGAUAAAGCGGGUGAAAAGCCCGCUCGCCGGAAGACCAAGGGUUCCUGUCCAACGUUAAUCGGGGCAGGGUGAGUCGACCCCUAAGGCGAGGCCGAAAGGCGUAGUCGAUGGGAAACAGGUUAAUAUUCCUGUACUUGGUGUUACUGCGAAGGGGGGACGGAGAAGGCUAUGUUAGCCGGGCGACGGUUGUCCCGGUUUAAGCAUGUAGGCGGAGGUUCCAGGUAAAUCCGGUACCUUUUAACGCUGAGGUGUGAUGACGAGGCACUACGGUGCUGAAGUAACAAAUGCCCUGCUUCCAGGAAAAGCCUCUAAGCAUCAGGUAACACGAAAUCGUACCCCAAACCGACACAGGUGGUCAGGUAGAGAAUACCAAGGCGCUUGAGAGAACUCGGGUGAAGGAACUAGGCAAAAUGGUGCCGUAACUUCGGGAGAAGGCACGCUGACAUGUAGGUGAAGCCCCUGCGGGUGGAGCUGAAGUCAGUCGAAGAUACCAGCUGGCUGCAACUGUUUAUUAAAAACACAGCACUGUGCAAACACGAAAGUGGACGUAUACGGUGUGACGCCUGCCCGGUGCCGGAAGGUUAAUUGAUGGGGUUAUCCUUAGGGAGAAGCUCUUGAUCGAAGCCCCGGUAAACGGCGGCCGUAACUAUAACGGUCCUAAGGUAGCGAAAUUCCUUGUCGGGUAAGUUCCGACCUGCACGAAUGGCGUAAUGAUGGCCAGGCUGUCUCCACCCGAGACUCAGUGAAAUUGAACUCGCUGUGAAGAUGCAGUGUACCCGCGGCAAGACGGAAAGACCCCGUGAACCUUUACUAUAGCUUGACACUGAACAUUGAGCCUUGAUGUGUAGGAUAGGUGGGAGGCUUUGAAGCGUGGACGCCAGUCUGCGUGGAGCCAACCUUGAAAUACCACCCUUUAAUGUUUGAUGUUCUAACCUGGCGCCGUAAUCCGGCGUGGGGACAGUGUCUGGUGGGUAGUUUGACUGGGGCGGUCUCCUCCUAAAGAGUAACGGAGGAGCACGAAGGUUGGCUAAUCCUGGUCGGACAUCAGGAGGUUAGUGCAAUGGCAUAAGCCAGCUUGACUGCGAGCGUGACGGCGCGAGCAGGUGCGAAAGCAGGUCAUAGUGAUCCGGUGGUUCUGAAUGGAAGGGCCAUCGCUCAACGGAUAAAAGGUACUCCGGGGAUAACAGGCUGAUACCGCCCAAGAGUUCAUAUCGACGGCGGUGUUUGGCACCUCGAUGUCGGCUCAUCACAUCCUGGGGCUGAAGUAGGUCCCAAGGGUAUGGCUGUUCGCCAUUUAAAGUGGUACGCGAGCUGGGUUUAGAACGUCGUGAGACAGUUCGGUCCCUAUCUGCCGUGGGCGCUGGAGAAUUGAGGGGGGCUGCUCCUAGUACGAGAGGACCGGAGUGGACGCAUCACUGGUGUUCGGGUUGUCAUGCCAAUGGCAUUGCCCGGUAGCUACAUGCGGAAGAGAUAAGUGCUGAAAGCAUCUAAGCACGAAACUUGCCCCGAGAUGAGUUCUCCCUGAGACUUAGAGUCUCCUGAAGGAACGUUGAAGACGACGACGUUGAUAGGCCGGGUGUGUAAGCGCAGCGAUGCGUUGAGCUAACCGGUACUAAUGAACCGUGAGGCUUAACCUU